UUGGUAUGCACUGGCUUUACUGAUUCCUCCUUCUUGACGAACCGUGAUGUCAUUAAUUUGGUGUUGCGGGAAAUCAGGACUGUUACUUUGAAAAAAUUAGAGUGUUUAAAGCAGGCUAACGCUUGAAUACAUUAGCAUGGAAUAAUGAAAUAGGACGUUAAUCCUAUUUUGUUGGUUUCUAGGAUCGACGUAAUGAUUAAUAGGGAUAGUUGGGGGCAUUAGUAUUCAAUUGUCAGAGGUGAAAUUCUUGGAUUUAUUGAAGACUAACUACUGCGAAAGCAUUUGCCAAGGAUGUUUUCAUUAAUCAAGAACGAAAGUUAGGGGAUCGAAGACGAUCAGAUGCCGUCGUAGUCUUAACCAUAAACUAUGCCGACUAGGGAUCGGAUGAUGUUAAUUUUUUAAUGACUCAUUCGGCGCCUUACG
rnacentral:rRNA from 1 species